ACCAAGCCUUGAGUACCCAGCAGCCACUUAUGCCCGUGAAAGAACAACAAAAACAAACAACAAAAACAAAAAAACGUAAUCGGCGUGGUUACGCCUUUACCUUAAUUAAUACCUAUGGUUUCUUGUCUAAUUUAUAAUCGUUAUCU
rnacentral:ribozyme from 1 species